UGAGGAAUAUUGGUCAAUGGGCGAGAGCCUGAACCAGCCAAGUCGCGUGAGGGAUGACGGCCCUACGGGUUGUAAACCUCUUUUGCCGGGGAGCAAUGCUCCGCACGAGUGCGGAGCGGGAGAGUACCCGGAGAAAAAGCAUCGGCUAACUCCGUGCCAGCAGCCGCGGUAAUACGGAGGAUGCGAGCGUUAUCCGGAUUUAUUGGGUUUAAAGGGUGCGUAGGCGGAACGCCAAGUCAGCGGUAAAAAGUGCGGUGCUCAACGCCGUAGUGCCGUUGAAACUGCCGGUCUUGAGUGAGCGAGAAGUAUGCGGAAUGCGUGGUGUAGCGGUGAAAUGCAUAGAUAUCACGCAGAACUCCGAUUGCGAAGGCAGCAUACCGGCGCUCAACUGACGCUGAGGCACGAAAGCGUGGGGAUCGAACAGGAUUAGAUACC
rnacentral:rRNA from 1 species